CACCUACCGCACCCACCACCCUCCUGUCGACACACUCCUCGUCUCGGAGGCCUUUCGUGGGGUCCCCCCAGUUCCAUGCGCCGUAUCCUGCUGCUGUCCGACUCACGGACUGACCCCAGCUCACAGUCUCAGCCUGGGCCCCAGGGAACGCAAGUCAGCUCAAAUCCAGACCUGGCUCAGCCAGGGCCGUGGACACGCUGCAAGCCCUCGUGCAGCCUCUGGGCAGACCCGGGACCUGCAGGCCAGGGGAAAGUGUGGACGUCAUGAGGCAGUGGCAUCCCUGUCCCCACAACGUCCACGGUGACUGUGCGUGUGUGUCCUCGGGCCCACAUAAAGGGGCAGAUGCCCUGUGCCCAGCUACAGCCCCCUCCCAAAGGAGCCUGCAGCAAAGAAGAGUUGCUGGAAGAUCACCCUGCUUUAUUGCCUGGGCCUUAAGGUAAUCAGGGGUGUCUCUCUCCAGCUAGGGCCUGGGAUUCCGUUUCAGGAGCUCGGGCUGAGCGGCCACCUUCCUGGUGGGUCCGUGCCCCAGUCCCUGGUGUGAAGGGGCCGACGCCCAUGACAACAGCCACCCUGAAUGUCCAGGCACUGCCUGAGCCACAUUUGCUGAGGUCUGGGUCCUGGCCCUGGCAGAGUGGGCUGGGCUAGGAGAUGACACAGCAGCAGCAGCUGUGGCAGCGGCAGAAGGGGGGGCAGUGGCAGCAGCGGCAGCAGGGGCAGCAGCAGCAGUGGUGGGCGAUGUCAUCCCCACGCCCCACGGGCGGAGGGCCAGCAUAGGUCAGUCCGGCCGGGCGCUGACUGUUGCUGUAGGGGUUGCCAGGCUGCCACCAGGCCUGCUGGUUCUGGAUGGGGGCAGCCCCCUGGUUACCCUUGGUGCCCUUGGGCCCUGGGACCUCAGUUGGCUGCAAGAGGUGGGUUGGCUCCGGGGCACAGGGCCCCACUGGCAGCGGCUGCAUCUCCGAGGAUGAGGAACAGGUGGAAGCUACCUCUAAUUGCUGCCCGAGGUCAGGCCGCAGGUGAGCCCGGGGGAUGCUGAUGUGGGCAUAUGAGUUCUUGACGACCAUCUCUUGGGGGUCCAUGGUCCAGCCUGCAGGGGUGGGCAGAGAAGACAGACACGGACUCAGUGGAGUGGGAUGGCUGCCCACGAACCUGCGGCCCAAGAAAGCCCCCACCAGGAGCAGCAUGCCUUGUCCAAGGCCAGCAUCCCCAAGGCACCAGUGCCUGGUGUGCCGUCAUCUCCAACUGUGUGUGCAAGGCUAGUGUCAUGGGCGUGAGCCAAGUGUGAGCAAGCAGCAAGGGCCGGUGUCUCCCAGCUGCCACCCCUGCCAGGGAUCCUCCCCCUCCCCUGGUGGCAUUGGUCCUGGGAUGGAGCUGGGAAUGGGGUCGGGGAGGCUGAGAGAUGGGAGAGAAGGGGGCUGACCCUGCAGUGCCCCUGAGUUCUGGGCAGUCCCGGCAGCCAAGGGCUUACCUGUGGUGGCAACACAGCAGUCUGUCCUCUCGGUCUUCUGAGCUCUAGGUCCCAGUGCCUGAGUUGAGCGACUGGCAGCCGCUUUUCCCUCCUUGGGAGGGGCGGGGCCAUGGGGCGGGGCUCAGAGAUGGGGUUCCCAAGAUCCCAAGAGGCCCCAGCAACUGGAGCACGGCAGCUGGCCCACCCCUCAUCCUCAGGCUGAUCUCAAACUCCAGGACUGAAGUGAUCCGCCUGCCUCCACCUCCCAAAGUGCUGGAUUCCAGGCGUGAGCCAGCGUGCCCAGUGGCUUUUCUGCUUUUUUCACUGAUAAAAAAUGUUUGAUUUGCA